ACACGCACGCGACGCAGCCCCCCAGGGGGAGGAGAGAGAAAGAGAGAGAAAAAACCAGCACCACGUCGGUACAAAACGAGGCCAGCGGAGAGAGAGGGGCGAAGAAGCAGAGGCGGGGGAGAGAGAGAAGAGAAGAGACGAGGAAAGUGUUGGCGGUGUGCUCGCGCCAUUCCAUCCCAUCCCCUCCCCGCGACCCGGCCCCGCCGGAUCUCGCCGCCGUCGGCGCCGGCUCCCCCUGGGCGGCGCCGCAGCCGCGCCCCCGAUCGGCGGCCGCGCCCCCGCCCAUGGUCGUUGCGCCCGCGUGGGGGACUCGGAGCGCGUGAGUAGGCAGGCGCCACGUGCCACGGGGCGCGUGUACACUCGGCGGUGGCCAUGGCGGACCUGGCUUCCACCUGCAAGGAUAAACUGGCAUACUUUCGAAUAAAGGAACUCAAAGAUAUCUUGCAUCAGUUAGGCCUACCAAAGCAAGGAAAGAAGCAGGAUCUUAUUGACAGGGUAUUGGCACUGUUAUCAGAUGAGCAAGGUCAAAGGCAUCAUGGGUGGGGAAGAAAAAAUUCGUUCACAAAGGAGGCAGUGGCAAAAAUUAUCGAUGAUAUAUACAGCAGGAAAAUGCAAAUCCAAUCUGCUCCCGAUCUAGCCACUAGGUCCCACACUGGAUCAGAUUUAUUCCGGCCUAAAGAUGAAGUCAACGACUCCUUCCAGCCACAGCCAGUGACUAAGGUCCGCUGCAUUUGUGAUAGCAAGUUGCUAAACGAUAAUAUGAUCCAGUGUGAGGAUGAUCGAUGCCAUGUGUGGCAACAUAUGAGUUGUGUGCUCGUUCCAGAUAAGCCCACUGAGGGUGUUGGCCCUGAAGUUCCACCCCAUUUCUACUGUGAAUUAUGCCGACUAAGUCGGGCAGACCCGUUUUGGGUCACUACAGGGAAUCCAUUACCCCCUCUGAAAUUCAUGUCAUCUGGUGUUGCAAAUGAUGGAACAAGUGUACUGCAAACCGUGGAGAAAACCUUCCAACUUUCUCGAGCGGAUAGGGAAACAGUUCAGAGAUCAGAAUAUGAUCUCCAGGUUUGGUGCAUUCUUAUGAAUGAUAAAGUUCAGUUCAGGAUGCAGUGGCCCCAAUAUGCAGAAUUGGAAGUGAAUGGUUUUGCUGUACGAGUAGUGACCAGACCUGGUUCUCAGUUGCUAGGCAUAAAUGGACGGGAUGAUGGGCCAUUGAUAACCACAUGCAGUAGAGAAGGAACUAACAAGAUCUGCUUACGAAGGGUUGAUAAUCGAACAUUUUGCUUUGGAGUCCGAGUUGCUAGGAGGAGAAGUGUUCCUCAGGUUUUAAAUUUAGUUCCAAAGGAAGCUGAAGGUGAGUCUUUUGAGGAUGCUCUUACUCGUGUUCGGCGCUGUCUCGGAGGUGGAGACACUGCAGAGAACGCUGAUAGUGACAGUGAUUUGGAAGUGGUUACUGAAUCUGUUACAGUCAACCUUCGUUGCCCUAAUAGUGGAUCCAGAAUGAAGACUGCUGGAAGGUUCAAGCCUUGCGUUCACAUGGGUUGUUUUGAUCUCGACACCUUCGUGGAACUGAAUCAGCGGUCCCGCAAGUGGCAGUGUCCAAUAUGUUUAAAGAACUACUCUCUUGAGAAUUUGAUGAUUGAUCCUUACUUCAAUCGGAUUACUUCUCUGUUGCGUGAUUGUAGUGAAGAUGUCAAUGAGAUUGAUAUUAAGCCAGAUGGAUCUUGGCGUAUAAAGGGUGAUGUACCAACUAGGGAAUUAUCUCAGUGGCAUAUGCCUGAUGGCACGCUCUGUAUCUCAAAGGAAGAUAACAAACCUGGUGUUGAGAAUUUUAAUGAACUCAAGAUAGAAGGUAGUUCUGAUGGCCAUAAGAGUUUAAAAAUUGGAAUCAAAAGAAAAAAUGGAAUCUGGGAAGUUAGUAACAAAGCAGAUGACAAGAAGCCUUCUGUUGUAGGAAAUAUCACCCAGAACAAUAUUACUUUCCGAACUCCAAACACUUUCCCUAUGAGCAGUAGUCCCACUGGGAGUUAUAGAGAUGGGGAAGACACAAGUGUGAACCAGGAGGGCAGUAUGCAUAUUGAUUUAUCAUUGAACAAUGGUCAUGAGUUUGAAAGUUUUCCUCUCAAUUUCGGCCAAACAUAUAACACAGAGGAUACAUCACAGCAACAACUUAGUGCUGGAGAUGUCAUUGUUCUUAGUGAUUCUGAUGAAGAGAAUGACACAGUUGUUUGCCCACCAACGGUCUACGACAAUACUACUGUAAAUGGCGGUGGUUUUCCUUUUGCCACUAGUGGUGCUGGAUUUACUGGAAGAUACCAGGAAGAUGCUGGCGUCGGUACUAGUGGACUUGGUUUAUUAAGCAACAAUGCUGAUGAUUUUGAGAUGACUAAUUGGCAAAUGCCCUAUUCCCAACCGGAGCAAGGCUACCAGUUUUUCGGGGAUGGCACCGCCGAUACUUAUGUUGGUUCGCACAAUUCCUUUAGCAUUACACCAAACGACUAUUCCCUUGAUUGUAAUGUUGGCAUAGAGGAGGCUUCUGUAGCUCAUGACCUUCCAGUUUACCGCAGUAAUAAUGAAAUGCAUGGAAGUUUGGUUGAUAACCCAUUGGCUUUCGGUGGUGAUGAUCCUUCUUUGCAAAUUUUUCUUCCAAGUCAGCCUUCUUCUGCUCCCCUUCAGGAAGAACCAAGUGAGCGUGUAAAUGCAUCAAAUGGGUUUCAGUCUGAUGAUUGGAUCUCUCUUACGCUCGCAGCCGGUGGAGGUGGUAAUGAAGAGCCUGCAGUUGCUAAUGGUUUAAAUUUGCAAGAACAAAUACGGGCAAAUGAGACAGGAGUGGAACCAUUAACUGAUGCUGCUUCUGUCCUUCCAAGCACAAACAAUGACAGAGAUGACGGAGCUAAUUUAAAUCCAAGAAGGAUUGAGAAUAUAUUUUCUCAUCCUCGCCAGCCUCGGUCUCGGUCGGUCAGGCCUCGACUUUGUUUAUCAAUAGAUUCUGACUCUGAGUAGAUUGGACAUUUAAAUGGGAUAGUUGAGUUUGCAUUAAUUUGGCAAGGCUGCCUUCCAGAAAUCCUGAUUUUUACCGAGGUUAUCAGGUUCUUCUGGUUGAUGUAAAGAGAAACACAAACAUAGAUGCUGUGUUGCCUCACCUGGUCGACAAACUACAAGUGUUCCAUGGGGAUCUGCACAGAGGACUCUGAUGGCUUGAGCGGGUUGAUUAUCUCAUGCCAACAGGGCAACCGAGGCCUCUAAUGGUAAGCAAGAUCAUUUCUAUCUCAGUACUGGUGUCACAGGAGCAGGCCUGUGCAUUAACCAGUUUGCUUUGUCAAAAAUGGAAACCUGCCUGUUGUGAUAUCCUAGAGAGUUCUGCUGCCAAAUUUUGCAGUACUACAUUGUGGUUUUGUGCAUAUACUUGCGUCGACUCAUCACCUAUGGUAAGUUGUAAAUCGGUCUUGUCUAAGCAGUGCUUGCUCCUGUCAUCGGACCAUCAUGAUGGGCGGUACAUGCAUUGCCAGAAUUUGGGUGCCCUCCUUG
rnacentral:rRNA from 1 species